GACGAACGCUGGCGGCGUGCUUAACACAUGCAAGUCGAACGGAAAGGCCUGCUUUCCCUUGUGGAUUGCGGGUGCUCGAGUGGCGAACGGGUGAGUAACACGUGAGUGAUCUGCCCCCAACUUGGGUAUAAGCCUGGGAAACUGGGCCUAAUUCCCGAUAGGACUGCAGGGUGGUGCCUGUGGUGGAAAACGAUUUUCUAGUGGUUGGGGAUGAGCUCGCGGCCUAUCAGCUUGUUGGUGGGGUAAUGGCCUACCAAGGCGGCGACGGGUAGCCGGCCUGAGAGGGUGGACGGCCACAUUGGGACUGAGAUACGGCCCAGACUCCUACGGGAGGCAGCAGUGGGGAAUAUUGCACAAUGGGCGGAAGCCUGAUGCAGCGACGCCGCGUGGGGGAUGACGGCCUUCGGGUUGUAAACUCCUUUCGACCGCGAGGAAGCCACCUGGUUGGAAGGGUGGUGACGGUAGUGGUAGAAGAAGCACCGGCUAACUACGUG
rnacentral:rRNA from 1 species